rnacentral:rRNA from 1 species
ACGGAGGAAAAGAAACCAACAGGGAUUGCCUUAGUAGCGGCGAGUGAAGCGGCAAAAGCUCAAAUUUGAAAUCUGGCGCCUUCGGUGUCCGAGUUGUAAUUUGAAGAUUGUAACCUUGGGGUUGGCUCUUGUCUAUGUUUCUUGGAACAGGACGUCACAGAGGGUGAGAAUCCCGUGCGAUGAGAUGCCCAAUUCUAUGUAAGGUGCUUUCGAAGAGUCGAGUUGUUUGGGAAUGCAGCUCUAAGUGGGUGGUAAAUUCCAUCUAAAGCUAAAUAUUGGCGAGAGACCGAUAGCGAACAAGUACAGUGAUGGAAAGAUGAAAAGAACUUUGAAAAGAGAGUGAAAAAGUACGUGAAAUUGUUGAAAGGGAAGGGUUUGAGAUCAGACUCGAUAUUUUGUGAGCCUUGCCUUCGUGGCGGGGUGACCCGCAGCUUAUCGGGCCAGCAUCGGUUUGGGCGGUAGGAUAAUGGCGUAGGAAUGUGACUUUACUUCGGUGAAGUGUUAUAGCCUGCGUUGAUGCUGCCUGCCUAGACCGAGGACUGCGAUUAUCAAGAUGC